AAUUCCCCUUUCCCCAACCUGGCUCACCUCCAAAUCUAAGGAAUCCAUAAGUGGUGUGCAAUUCCCAGAAAACCAACAGCGUGAACGACCCUUUCGUGUUUCCUGUUCUUCUUCCAGGUCGAAAAAGCAACGUGUGCACGUCUUGAUUCAAAUUGCGUCAAAGCCAGGAUGCCCUCCUCGCGUGAAAGGAACCAACGCGUACAAGCAGCACGUUGCAUUCUUUAUCUUUUUCCUCGACGUCCUUCUCAACUCGUACAGUUGCUGCAGCAAAAGCACCAAGCAAGUCACGUGUUUUCAUCCUUGCAACCUUCAGAUGGGGACGCGUGGAACAAGAAGGACCAUGGAUCGGUCCCAGGCGUCCAACUCUUUCUAAUACAUAGGAAAUUAGGAAUCAAUUUAGCAUAUUCAUUGAGUUUUUGGGAUAAGGUUUGAUUUUGAAUUUGUGCCUUUGUUCUUACCCGAUUUUACCCUCAUCUUUUCCCCAAAAAAAAUCUAACCUUGUUUAUCAUACAUAUAGCCUCUUCUUCCUCAAUGUUUGGGGUUGGGGGGAACUUUUUUGUUUUAGCGGAUAAAGAGAAUAGAUUAAACAUUUAGUCAUAAAAUACAUUCGAGAAAGGGUAAGAAAGAGUGAGUUGUCAAUCAGAGUCUCAUUCCGCCAAUUUGAUCAUCAUUGUUCUUCUAAGUUAGUCCGAGUUUGAGUUAUUGCUCAGACCUAUAUCUUGUUGUUUCGUUAGUGAUUGUGUGGUGGUCAACUACUGCUCGUCUAGUCCCAGCGAUGCUGCCCGAAAAAAGGUCUGCUGUGUGAUUCCAUUUUAUCCAUGUUGUUCGAUUUCAGUGCCUCUUACUGUUCCGCUACAUUUAGGAUUGCUACGGUUAGUGUUGCUAUCCAUAUAGGCCUAAGCUCUCGAGGUUAAAUGAUAGAAUCGUGUGUGGCAUAAUCACAUUUUACUUCAUUGUCUAUGUUUUAUUUCUCUAUUUUGAAAUCUCUGUUUGCCUUACUUUCUGAAAUGAUUUGCCCGGUCAAUUUCUUUUCAUGUCUUCACUUUGCAGGAAGAUUAAUAAAAAAUUGGAUGCCAUUUUGCCAUUCGAGCUUUCAAAGGUGAAAUUGUUUAAGAAUAUUAACUUUGGGCACGUUGUUUCUUUCUUUGUUUGCUUAUGGUAAACAUUUUGAAUAUAUUUUGAUAUUUUUUCCCAUCGAUGUCCUUUGCCCCUCAAAAAAUAUAUGCUAAAUCUUCGUGAUUUUUCCCUUUUCAUUAUUGUUUAAAUGCUAUUUCAUUUAUUCACCCUUUUUUAUAUUAAAAAUUCAUUUCGUCACCCUGAAAGAAAAUAUGCUAAUGUACUUUAUUUGUUGCCUUGCAUGUGAAAUCCGUUUGACUUCUCCACGAACUCUUACCUCCUUCUCUAGCAUUUCGGUAGAUACAUAAAGGCUUAAAGUUUAUUCAUCGAUUCAAGCUCAUAAUAUUGACAAACGGGUCCCUAAUUGGAAGAAUUUGGAGCAAACCAAGGAUUUGAAGAUUUUGGGCCAAGAGUCCACACCUAUUUUAAUUUUGUCUUUUGUUGUUUUUGGGCCUAAGCCCUUGGCGUUUUUGUAUUGUAACUUUGUUAGAAUUUUAGAAAAGGUGAAAAAUUUGUUCUAAGGCCCAAAGUGAAAUGGGUCAAAA